rnacentral:tRNA from 1 species
AAGAUACUAGUAAAAAGAUAUUACACUGCCUUGUCGAGGCAAAAUCGGAGGUUUAACCCCUCCGUAUCUUA